GGCCUAUCAGCUUGUUGGUGGGGUGAUGGCCUACCAAGGCGACGACGGGUAGCCGGCCUGAGAGGGUGAUCGGCCACAUUGGGACUGAGAUACGGCCCAGACCUCCUACGGGAGGCAGCAGUGGGGGAAUAUUUGCACAAUGGGCGGAAGCCUGAUGCAGCGACGCCGCGUGAGGGAUGACGGCCUUCGGGUUGUAAACCUCUUUCAGCAGGGACGAAGCGUAAGUGACGGUACUUGCAGAAGAAGCACCGGCUAAUUACGUGCCAGCAGCCGCGGUAAUACGUAGGGUGCGAGCGUUGUCCGGAAUUACUGGGCGUAAAGAGCUCGUAGGCGGUUUGUCACGUCGUCUGUGAAAUCCUAGGGCUUAACCCUGGACGUGCAGGCGAUACGGGCUGACUUGAGUACUACAGGGGAGACUGGAAUUUCUGGUGUAGCGGUGGAACGCACAGAUAUCAGGAAGAACACCGAUGGCGAAGACAGGUCUCUGGGUAGUAACUGACGCUGAGGAGCGAAAGCAUGGGUAGCGAACAGGAUUAGAUACCCUGGUAGUCCAUGCCGUAAACGGUGGGCGCUAGGUGUGGGGUUCCUUACCACGGGCUCCGCGCCGUAGCUAACGCAUUAAGCGCCCCGCCUGGGGAGUACGG
rnacentral:rRNA from 1 species